rnacentral:rRNA from 1 species
AAAGGGUGCGUAGGUGGUUUCUUAAGUCAGAGGUGAAAGGCUACGGCUCAACCGUAGUAAGCCUUUGAAACUGGGGAACUUGAGUGCAGGAGGGGCAAAUGGAAUUCCUAGUGUAGCGGUGGAAUGCGUAGAUAUUAGGAGGAACACCAGUGGCGAAGGCGAUUUGCUGGACUGUAACUGACACUGAGGCACGAAAGCGUGGGGAGCAAACAGG